AUUGAACGCUGGCGGCAUGCCUUACACAUGCAAGUCGAACGGUAACGCGGGGCAACCUGGCGACGAGUGGCGAACGGGUGAGUAAUACAUCGGAACGUACCCAGUAAUGGGGGAUAGCCAGGCGAAAGCCGGAUUAAUACCGCAUACGACCUAAGGGUGAAAGAGGGGGAUCGCAAGACCUCUCGUUAUUGGAGCGGCCGAUGGCAGAUUAGGUAGUUGGUGGGGUAAAGGCCUACCAAGCCGACGAUCUGUAGCGGGUCUGAGAGGACGACCAGCCACAAUGGGACUGAGACACGGCCCAGACUCCUACGGGAGGCAGCAGUGGGGAAUUUUGGACAAUGGACGCAAGUCUGAUCCAGCAAUGCCGCGUGCGGGAAGAAUGCCUUCGGGUUGUAAACCGCUUUUGUCAGGGAAGAAAUCUUCUGGGUUAAUACCUCGGGAGGAUGACGGUACCUGAAGAAUAAGCACCGGCUAACUACGUGCCAGCAGCCGCCGCCGUAA
rnacentral:rRNA from 1 species